rnacentral:rRNA from 1 species
GACGAACGCUGGCGGUGUGCUUCACACAUGCAAGUCGAACGAGGUAGCAAUACCUAGUGGCGGACGGGUGAGUAACGCGUGGGAAUCUGCCCAUAGGUGGGGGAUAACUAGCCGAAAGGUUAGCUAAUACCGCAUAUGCCGAAAGGUAAAAGGAGUAAUCCGCCUUUGGAUGAGCCCGCGUCCGAUUAGCUAGUUGGUAGAGUAAAAGCCUACCAAGGCGACGAUCGGUAGCUGGUCUGAGAGGAUGAUCAGCCACAAUGGGACUGAGACACGGCCCAUACUCCUACGGGAGGCAGCAGUGGGGAAUUUUACGCAAUGGGGGAAACCCUGACGUAGCGACACCGCGUGAAUGAAGAAGCCCUUUGGGGUGUAAAAUUCCGUACGGCUGGGAAGAAAAAAUGACGGUACCAGCAAAGGAGCAUCGGCUAACUACGUGCCAGCAGCCGCGGUAAU